GGAGUGGUAGUUCAGUUGGUUAGAAUACCGGCCUGUCACGCCGGGGGGGUAUCGAAUUCAUCCCACGCGG
rnacentral:tRNA from 1 species